rnacentral:rRNA from 1 species
AACCAGCUCUUCAAGUGGUCGGGAUAAUUAUUGGGCUUAAAGUGUCCGUAGCUGGUAAGGUAAGUUCCUGGUAAAAUGGGGCAGCUUAACUGUCUUUAUGCUAGGAAUACUGCUUUACUAGAGGGCGGGAGAGGUCUGAGGUACUACAGGGGUAGGGGUGAAAUCUUAUAAUCCUUGUAGGACCACCAGUGGCGAAGGCGUCAGACUGGAACGCGCCUGACAGUGAGGGACGAAAGCCAGGGGAGCGAACCGGAUUAGAUACCCUGGUA